rnacentral:lncRNA from 1 species
AUGUCAUCAUAACUUUUCCUACAAUCUUUUUCAGUGGUUUCUUUGAGAAAUCCCACCAUUCAGGAUAACCAAUGAUUUCAUAGCAUCGUUGUUUAGAAUGACUUGUUUCACCACAAUGACUACGUAUAAAAUUGUUGGACUUUUCAACAAAUUGAUUAUUUCGAGAGUUUUUGCUGAUGUUGAGGAUGAUCCAUGCAAU